GGUCAGGACGAACGCUGGCGGCGUGCCUAACACAUGCAAGUCGAGCGAGGAGAUUCCUUCGGGAUGAUCCUAGCGGCGGACGGGUGAGUAACACGUGGGCAACCUGCCUCAUAGAGAGGAAUAGCCUUCCGAAAGGGAGAUUAAUACCUCAUAACAUUGCAGUUUCGCAUGGAACAGCAAUUAAAGGAGUAAUCCGCUAUGAGAUGGGCCCGCGGCGCAUUAGCUAGUUGGUGAGGUAACGGCUCACCAAGGCGACGAUGCGUAGCCGACCUGAGAGGGUGAUCGGCCACAUUGGGACUGAGACACGGCCCAGACUCCUACGGGAGGCAGCAGUGGGGAAUAUUGCACAAUGGGGGAAACCCUGAUGCAGCCAACGCCGCGUGAGUGAUGACGGCCUUCGGGUUGUAAAGCUCUGUCUUCAGGGACGAUAAUGACGGUACCUGAGGAGGAAGCCACGGCUAACUACGUGCCAGCAGCUGC
rnacentral:rRNA from 1 species